AUUGAACGCUGGCGGCAGGCUUAACACAUGCAAGUCGAACGAGAGGCGGAAGGGUGAGUAAUGUCAGGGAAACCGCAUGAAGGAGGGGGAUAACGACUGGAAAAGGUAGCUAAUACCGCAUACCAUCAGAUGUGCCCGUAGGGGUUUAGCUUGUUGGUGGGGUAACGGCACACCAAGGCGACGAGCCCUAGCUGGUCUGAGAGGAUGCCCAGCCACACUGGAACGGAGACACGGUCCAGACGCCUACGGGAGGCAGCAGUGGGGAAUAUUGCACAAGUGGCGCAAGCCUGAUGAAGCCAUGCCGCGUGUAUGAAGAAGGCAUUCGGGUUGUAAAGUACUUUCAGCGGGGAGGCGUUACCCGCAGAAGAAGCACCGGCUAAAUCCGUGCCAGCAGCCGCGGUAAUUC
rnacentral:rRNA from 1 species